rnacentral:misc_RNA from 1 species
CAGAGUUCAUGCCCUCACGGGUAGAUCUCCCACCCUUGUGUAUUCAUACCUUUGUUGCUUUGGCAGGCCGCUGGGCUUCGGCCUGGCCACCGGCUCCCGGGCUGGUGCGCGCCUGCCAGGGGACCCCAAACUCUGAAUGUUAGUGUCGUCUGAGUACUAUACAAUAGUUA